UGCUACAUGGCACAGUGGCUUGAGCACUGGACUAAGACUCUGGAGAUCAGGGUUCAGUUCCUUGCCUGGCCA